UGUUUUCUGGACACUUUAAAGAGCGUGUCUCCCUGUGGCAGAGAUAAGAGCCCACGUCCUGCAUCCUGCGGCUGUGCAUUCUCAGCCACAGCAGUCACUGCAGCCCCUUUCCAGAGGAAGGCGAUUUGGACAAUGACAUCGCAGACUAAUGCAGCUAAUCCGGCCUUACCCAUGGGAAGUGGAUGAGGUCACAAGACUGGGAGAGGACUUGUUGGCUGUCAGGAGGAUGGUGAAGUCGACAUGUCAAAAAGAGCAGAGUGCGGCUGUGGGUGAAGAAAGAGAAAGGUGACACGAAAGCCCGAGCCCGAAGGGGAGCAGAGGGACGGCCGCCGGCCGGGCAGGGAGCGGAGGGGCUGCAGAUCGGGGGCCUCGUUGAGCGCGCUAAUUAAAACCCGGAGCCCCUGGGACGAACGGGAGGCCACGCACAGAGCGCAGCGGCGCUGGGGAUGACACAGCGCUGCGUUCAUGCUCUCCAACCGUAGACACCAGCUUUGCGAUAUCACCUUGCCUGAUGGAUUUUAAAUAGUCCUGCGAGUCUAUUAAUAAUAACAGAAAGAAUAUUUCACUGUAGGGCAGGGGAGAUGGACUGGAUCCAAGGUCCUUCGCAGAGAGAUGGAUUUAUACGACGUUCUGCUUUGCAAAGCGGAAAGCCGUCUCCGGUGCCGGCGGCGCUGGCCGUCCCGGUGCAUCGUGCUCAUCGCAGCAGCCGGGCGACAGAAGAGCCCGCGCCGCCGCUCCGCAGCCGGUCCCUGGCCCGACCUGUUAAACAGACCGAGCUCUGCUUUGCAUCCGAGCCCCGGCCCCGGCGUGCCCACGGCGGAGCGGCCGCCGCGGCGGGGAGCUCCCGGCCUUCCCUGCCACGGCCUCUGCAGCGGCUCGGCGAGCACCCCUUCUGAAGGGGGCUUUCUUAGUAGUAUUAUUUUGUGGUCAAAAGGUUGCAUACACUUUUUUUUUUCCUGAUGCAGAGGCUUAGAAAGAGUGGAAAGCAAAAUAUUUUGAUAAUUAUUCAGGCCAGCGGGUUACAUAAAAGGUUCCAUAGCCCUCUGCAUCAAACCUUAACAGUUCAAACCACAAAUUCUGUUUUUGCAGCCAUAAAACAUUCAGGGCAAAAAAAAAAAAAAAAAGAAAGAAAGAAAGAUUUAAAAAAAAUAAAAUAAAAUAAUAAAAUCCA